rnacentral:rRNA from 1 species
UCAUGGCUCAGAGUUGAACGCUGGCGGAAUGCUUACACAUGCAAGUCGAACGGUAGAGGGGCAACCCUUGGAGAGUGGCGAACGGGUGAGUAAUAUAGUCGGAACGUGCCAGUCGUGGGGAUAACGUAGCGAAAGUUACGCUAAUACCGCAUACGAUCUAAGGAUGAAAGCGGGGAUCGCAAGACCUCGCGCGAUUGGAGCGGCCGAUAUCAGAUUAGGUAGUUGGUGAGGUAAAGGCUCACCAAGCCGACGAUCUGUAGCUGGUCUGAGAGGACGACCAGCCACACUGGGACUGAGACACGGCCCAGACUCCUACGGGAGGCAGCAGUGGGGAAUUUUGGACAAUGGGCGCAAGCCUGAUCCAGCAAUGCCGCGUGCAGGAUGAAGGCCUUCGGGUUGUAAACUGCUUUGUACGGAACGAAACGGUGAGCUCUAAUACAGUUUGCUAAUGACGGUACCGUAAGAAUAAGCACCGGCUAACUACGUG